AGACCACAGACAGCCCUUAGUCUGCACCACACCAGCAGCCCUGCAGUUAAGGGUGCAGGGAUAUUCCCAGUCUCUUCCGUCACAGCUGCAUCACUGUGAAGAGAGAACAGGCAGGUUUCCCUGGGCAAUAGGCUGGCAGGUCACCAUGCUGCCAGCUCUGGUCCUGUGCCAGAGCUGAGAUCCAGCAGACUUUUCUCCAUCCAUGUCGGCAGCUGAGCUGUGAGUCUUCGGUGCUUGGUUCCACCUCCAGCCUGCUGCAUGCUGUGGCUGGCUGCAGUGGCUUGCCUGGUGGAAGUCACAGCUGAGUAGAGCUCCCUAUAAACAGACUUACUCCUCCUCUCACUGCCUGCCAAGUGCCAGGCACUGCUUGCUGUAACCAUCUUCCCAGAGAGCCUCCAGUCUGGUUCCUUGCAGAGCUGAUACAUUGGGGGUUGUUUGUACAAGCUGAUUUUAAGUAUGUAAUUUCUCUCCUAAAUUAGAUGUCUAGACUCCUGCUAUAAUCAAAGGUGAGAGGCAGGUUCCUAAUUACACUGCUUUAAAUUACACCCUGAAAGAUCCCUUGUCUGUACGGGGAGCAUGGGCACCUUACGUAGGUGCUUAAAAUGGUUUUGAACAUUCCCUGUUGUGUGCUGGGUCUGCCACUGCUGCUGCAAACAAAUACAGAACCUCCUCAGCUUGUGUAAAUCAAAAGCUUUAGCUUCUUAAAGGGGAAAUGUUAGUAGCACUUGGAUGGAAAUUAACUGGAGAGUGCAUUUAUUUUUGGCCAGUCCCCUGGGAGCACCUGCCAAGCAUUACUUCUCAUUUCAAGCCUGGCUGUUCCUGCUGAGAAAGUCUGAUGGAGCUUCGAGUCUGGGUCAAGGGACAGAAAUCACUGGCUGAGAAUCUACAGGCCUGAACCCAAAGAAAACAUGCCUCAAGAAUCAGUGUAACUACUCUGGGCCAAGGCUGUUUGGUUUUUUUUUUCCCCUCAGCCUUCUCCAGAAGUCUGCAGAACCCAAAAAGGACUGCAGAGGGUAAGGGGACGUUCAGUGGGUCAAUGAAGACCUGUAAAAGAGCUUUCCUGCCUUUCCCAACAGUUAAUAACUUUGUUGCACAGAACUUAGCUUUUCAGAAGGACUUUGUGUGGUUUUUGGCUGCCUGAGGACUGGUGAGAGAUGUUCGUAGUUACAAAUGGGGAGACUGUUUUUUUUUAAGGGGAAAACCUUCCCAAACUCUCAAACUUGUUUUCCCCAAAACCUUUGUUCCUGUGGCUGGGAGUGUGCAGUGUUACCUGCAGUAGUAAAAUGGUGCAUAAAGCAGCCUUAUUCUGCCUGAGAAGUGUGGGAAUUUGAGUACAGAACAGGGAGUGUCAGACAGUCGAGUUGUCUGCCUUGUCUUUUGCCCCUCACCUGGGACAGGUGUGAUGUAUGUGGCUGGGUUAGUAUAAUGGUGACAUGGUCACUGGCAAUGAGCAGGUACAACUCAGGGCCUGGGAGGAAGGUGGGUUUGUUGCCAAGUACUGGAUGCUGGCUCUUGGAGAAAAGAGAUGACUACCUUCUUGGCUCCUGAACUGAAAGGAGGCUUUUAGCACAGCUAAAUUGUACGUGUCCCUCAGGAAGGAUUUCAAGGCCAAACCACUAAAAGAACCCAGGCUCUUUUAAUCUAAAUACAGUCCUAGAAAACAACCGUGGGCUCAGUUGAAGAUGCCCUCUGUCUUGUACAAUGUCAUCUCUCCUUUGUGUGUAAGGGUUUCCUUGUUUACUCAUUAUUCCACCUGUAAUGGAAAAGUUCCAUUAAAUGUAGCAGAAGUUAUGUGCCAAAAAAAAAAGGCUUUUAAAAUCUAAAAUGGGU